rnacentral:rRNA from 1 species
GACGAACGCUGGCGGCGUGCUUAACACAUGCAAGUCGAACGGAAAGGCCCUGCUUUUGUGGGGUGCUCGAGUGGCGAACGGGUGAGUAACACGUGAGUAACCUGCCCUUGACUUUGGGAUAACUUCAGGAAACUGGGGCUAAUACCGUAUAGGAGCUCCUGCUGCGUGGUGGGGGUUGGAAAUUUUCGGCGGUUGGGGAUGGACUCGCGGCUUAUCAGCUUGUUGGUGGGGUAGUGGCUUACCAAGGCUUUGACGGGUAGCCGGCCUGAGAGGGUGACCGGCCACAUUGGGACUGAGAUACGGCCCAGACUCCUACGGGAGGCAGCAGUGGGGAAUAUUGCCCAAUGGGCGGAAGCCUGAUGAAGCAACGCCGCGUGCGGGAUGACGGCCUUCGGGUUGUAAAACGCUUUAGCCUGUGACGAAGCGUGAGUGACGGUAAUGGGUAAAGAAGCACCGGCUAACUACGUG